rnacentral:rRNA from 1 species
ACGCACGCUGGCGGCGUGCCUAAUACAUGCAAGUUGAGCGCUGAAGGUUGGUACUUGUACCGACUGGAUGAGCAGCGAACGGGUGAGUAACGCGUGGGGAAUCUGCCUUUGAGCGGGGGACAACAUUUGGAAACGAAUGCUAAUACCGCAUAAAAACUUUAAACACAAGUUUUAAGUUUGAAAGAUGCAAUUGCAUCACUCAAAGAUGAUCCCGCGUUGUAUUAGCUAGUUGGUGAGGUAAAGGCUCACCAAGGCGAUGAUACAUAGCCGACCUGAGAGGGUGAUCGGCCACAUUGGGACUGAGACACGGCCCAAACUCCUACGGGAGGCAGCAGUAGGGAAUCUUCGGCAAUGGACGAAAGUCUGACCGAGCAACGCCGCGUGAGUGAAGAAGGUUUUCGGAUCGUAAAACUCGGUUGGUAGAGAAGAACGUUGGUGAGAGUGGAAAGCUCAUCAAGUGACGGUAACUACCCAGAAAGGGACGGCUAACUACGUG